CAGGAGGCAGAGCUGGACCAGGGAGGAUUACAAAUGGAAAUAAGCAGCUAAUCAUGAACAGAUUCUCCACUCUCUGGAAGAAAUCACAGAAAACAAGAAAGAAAAAUAAAACCACCACAAAUUCCUAAUUUAAUCUUGACAUGGAAGUACUUUAAAACACAAACAAGAUUCAAGAGUAAACAAAGGCUCCAGCAAGGUGGCUCACACCUCUAAUCCCAGCCGUUUGGGAGACUGAGGUGGACGGAUCACUUAAAGACAAAAAUUCAAGACCAGCCUGUGCAACAUGGCAAAACCCUGUAAUAAUACAAAAAUUAGCCGGGCAUGGUGGCACGUGCCUCGUGGCACGUGCCUGUAGUCCCAGCUACUUGGGAGGCUGAGGCAGAAGAAUCACCUGAACCUGGGAGGCAGAGGUUGCAGUUCACACCACUGUUCUCCAGCCUGUGCAACAGAGCAAGAUUCUAUCUUAACAACAACAACAACAAAAAGCAAACAAAGGGCAGGUACCUUGAAAAACAUGAAGAGCAAAUGCCAUGGGUGCAGCAUUCAGAAAGCUGGAGAAAUAAACCUUCAAAGGAUAUGGUAC
rnacentral:lncRNA from 1 species